rnacentral:rRNA from 1 species
AGAGUUGAUUAUGGCUCAGGAUGAACGCUAGCGACAGGCUAACACAUGCAAGGUCGAGGGGCAGCAUAAAAGUAGCAAUACUUGGUGGCGACCGGCGCACGGGUGAGUAACGCGUAUGCAACCUACCUAUCAGAGGGGAAUAACCCGGCGAAAGUCGGACUAAUAUCGCAUAAAACAGGGGCACCGCAUGGUGAUAUUUGUUAAAGAAAUUCGCUGAUAGAUGGGCAUGCGUUCCAUUAGGUAGUUGGUGAGGUAACGGCUCACCAAGCCGACGAUGGAUAGGGGAACUGAGAGGUUGGUCCCCCACACUGGUACUGAGACACGGACCAGACUCCUACGGGAGGCAGCAGUGAGGAAUAUUGGUCAAUGGGCGAGAGCCUGAACCAGCCAAGUCGCGUGAAGGAAGAAGGAUCUAUGGUUCGUAAACUUCUUUUGCAGGGGAAUAAAGUGCAGGACGUGUCCUGUUUUGUAUGUACCCUGAGAAUAAGGAUCGGCUAACUCCGUGCCAGCCGCUGC